rnacentral:lncRNA from 1 species
ACAAAAAGGUGAAAGUAGGGCAAUAUUACAUGAUUGCGUAAGCAGAAAUUAAUCUCAAUUCCCUUUUCUCCUCUGCCAACAGUGGUUUGAUGUCUACUUCAGACUGGUGCGGCCACAGCUCCUGAGACCCACCAAGAGAGAAAGGGAGAUGUGGAGGAUGAGUCUGAUGCUGCGAAGAGGUUCUUUGUCUCCUCCACAGGGAUGGCAAUCUACAAUCCCUCAAAUGACUUGAUGCGGCUGCACUCAAAGUGAAUCAUUUCCCCUCUUAUAUGUCUGCUCAUGUUCUGUUCAUUGCUGUCUCAGGUGAGAUGUCUCUAUGAAUCUCUAAUAUACUGUUCAAACUUACAUUUUAGAUACAAGCUCCGGUCAGUGACCAGCCAGAUGGCUCGGAUUGCAUUUGAAACGGCAAGUAAGAGCUUGAACGAUGCUGAAAGGGCACUGGUGGCGGGAUACCUGACUCAUUCCAGCCAAACAGCUGACAAGCAUUACCGCAUGAAGAACCGUGAACACAUUGUAAAGGGCUGUCAGCUGCUGACCAGCCUGGUUAGUGUGUCAAGUGCUGAGUCUCCUGGGGAAGGUACCAGCCGAGAGUCUUUGAGGAGCCGUGAGGAGUGUUCCAGCCAUGCUGCCCAUCAAGCUGUCCCUUCCAUCAAACAGCCAACGAUAAGUCUGACAAGGCUCCCCUCUGUCAAUGACAGCAAAACAUUCUCGAAGGCAUUUGAAACCCUCCUGCAAACCCACCCUCUUUCACUGAAUGGGAAAAGGCCAGAAAUGAAGAAAUGCAAGGCUGUGUCUAAAGAAUUUCAGGAGAAGCUUUCCAGUCAGUGGGCGAAGAAGCAGUUUGAAAUGCGUGCACAACAUGCUUGCACCUAUUUCAGUCGGCGUAAGCCAACAAAAGAGCAGCUCCAAUCUUGGACAAGCAAGCAGGGAUGGAAGAAUAUGGCUGCCGACUGCGAAAAACUUCUUCAGAACUGGGCACCAUCUGGAUCUGAGGACCAUAUCAUGGACAGCAAACUGAUACAGACACUGGUGAAAUCCCAGAAAUGGAGAGGACUUCACAUCAGAGAAUGUGACGGGAAGGGCAGAGGGAUCAUUACCACGUGCAGAUUUGAGGCUGGCGAGGUGCUCUGUGACUACCAUGGACCUGUUGUCACGUCCAGUGAGGGCCACAAAACACACAAGAGCACCACUGAGAUUUACUGCCAUGGCCCAUGCCUUCUGCCAGUUUGUGCUAUCAGCAGUGAAGUGGAAAUCCGCCAAUACACCCUCAAAAUGUCUAGUGAUAACUGCAACUGUGUCCUCAGUCCAGUGUCUGCAAGCUGUGUUAACUUGCUUGUGCACGUUCCUGUCAAAUGGCUCCAAAGUAAGGAAAAUAACAAUUCUAAUACUUGCUUACAUACUGGAUUGUGA